rnacentral:lncRNA from 1 species
CCUGUUGCAGCCCAGAAAGCCAGCCCCUUUUAUGAGGAAUGGUGGUUCUUGGUGGUCAUUGCCCUUGUGGGUCUCAUCUUCAUCCUGCUCCUGGUCUUCGUACUCAUCAUCCGAGGUCAGAGCAAGAAGUAUUCCAAGAAGACAGAUGCAGGUGAGCGACCCUGCACAUCCCCCUCCCACCCUCCAACCCACCCCUAUCAUGGCAGGCUUGACUCCUGAGGAUCUCCUUUAUGUUGGGGGCUGGAAAGAUCUCUUCCUUAGCAAUGCAUCCUCUCAGGAGGGUGAAUUCCUCCACACAACCUCUAAUCAGGGUCUUGAUACAAGCAAGAAAAGGGAGCAUCCCAGCCUAGUGGGAGAACAGAGCUGGUAAGGAAUGGCCGUGUGGUCUGACAGGUACCAAUCUUCCACCAACCACCACCCCACCACCACUUUGCCCUCAGGUGGGAAUACCAAGUCAGGAGCACUCGGCCAUGGGGAGAUGCUAAGCUUGGAUGAAAGCAGUUUUCCUGCUCUGGAACUCAACAACCGGCGGCUGUCUGUGAAGAACUCCUUCUGCAGGAAGAAUGGCUUG